rnacentral:rRNA from 1 species
UACAGAGGUCUCAAGCGUUGUUCGGAUUCAUUGGGCGUAAAGGGUGCGUAGGCGGCGCGGUAAGUCGGGUGUGAAAUCUCGGAGCUUAACUCCGAAACUGCAUUUGAUACUGCGGUGCUUGAGGACUGGAGAGGAGACUGGAAUUUACGGUGUAGCAGUGAAAUGCGUAGAGAUCGUAAGGAAGACCAGUGGCGAAGGCGGGUCUCUGGGCAGUUCCUGACACUGAGGCACGAAGGCCAGGGGAGCAAACGGG